rnacentral:lncRNA from 1 species
UACUUUUAUUUGUCUUUUAUGGUCAAAUCUAUUUCUGCCGAUCAAGAUGAACGGCAACCUUGCUUCUUCGCCGAUCAAAAACAAUUUCCUGCCGAUCAUUGAUCGGCCGUUAUUUCGAGCCCUGUAUCAAUGCGCAAUGUCAAUUACGCGCAUGCUCACAACUACUCACACUACAGAGGUUAGUUGAUCAUGAGCUACCGAGCGUAAGUCGCGAGGUCAAUAAACUUCGCUUUAUGAAUUAAAGUUAAGCUAAGCUAACUUAGUUUAGACUGGGACACACAUAUAAAAA